rnacentral:rRNA from 1 species
GUCGAACGGAAGUUUAAGCAAUUAAACUCUAGUGGCGAACGGGUGAGUAACGCGUAAGCAAUCUGCCCCUAAGACGAGGAUAACAGUUGGAAACGACUGCUAAGACUGGAUAGGAGACAAGAAGGCAUCUUCUUGUUUUUAAAAGACCUAGCAAUAGGUAUGCUUAGGGAGGAGCUUGCGUCACAUUAGUUAGUUGGUGGGGCAAAGGCCUACCAAGACUAUGAUGUGUAGCCGGGCUGAGAGGUUGAACGGCCACAUUGGGACUGAGACACGGCCCAAACUCCUACGGGAGGCAGCAGUAGGAAAUUUUCGGCAAUGGAGGAAACUCUGACCGAGCAACGCCGCGUGAACGAUGAAGUAUUUCGGUACGUAAAGUUCUUUUAUUAGGGAAGAAUAAAUGAUGGAAAAAUCAUUCUGACGGUACCUAAUGAAUAAGCCCCGGCAAACUAUGUGCCAGCAGCCGCGGUAAUACAUAGGGGGCAAGCGUUAUCCGGAAUUAUUGGGCGUAAAGGGUGCGUAGGCGGUUAAAUAAGUUUAUGGUCUAAGUGCAAUGCUCAACAUUGUGAUGCUAUAAAAACUGUUUAGCUAGAGUAAGAUAGAGGCAAGUGGAAUUCCAUGUGUAGCGGUAAAAUGCGUAAAUAUAUGGAGGAACACCAGUAGCGAAGGCGGCUUGCUGGGUCUUUACUGACGCUGAGGCACGAAAGCGUGGGGAGCAAACAGGAUUAGAUACCCUGGUAGUCCACGCCGUAAACGAUGAGUACUAAACGUUGGGUAAAACCAGUGUUGAAGUUAACACAUUAAGUACUCCGCCUGAGUAGUACGUACGCAAGUAUGAAACUUAAAGGAAUUGACGGGACUCCGCACAAGCGGUGGAUCAUGUUGUUUAAUUCGAAGGUACCCGAAAAACCUCACCAGGUCUUGACAUGCUUCUGCAAAGCUGUAGAAACACAGUGGAGGUUAUCAGUUGCACAGGUGGUGCAUGGUUGUCGUCAGCUCGUGUCGUGAGAUGUUGGGUUAAGUCCCGCAACGAGCGCAACCCUUAUUGUUAGUUACCAGCACGUAAUGGUGGGGACUUUAGCAAGACUGCCAGUGAUAAAUUGGAGGAAGGUGGGGACGACGUCAAAUCAUCAUGCCCCUUAUGACCUGGGC